AAUAGAUACCCGGGUAGUCCACGCCGUAAACGAUGAGUGCUAAGUGUUAGAGGGUUUCCGCCCUUUAGUGCUGAAGUUAACGCAUUAAGCACUCCGCCUGGGGAGUACGGCCGCAAGGCUGAAACUCAAAGGAAUUGAUGGGGGCCCGCACAAGCGGUGGAGCAUGUGGUUUAAUUCGAAGCAACGCGAAGAACCUUACCAGGUCUUGACAUCCUCUGACAACCCUAGAGAUAGGGCUUCUCCUUCGGGAGCAGAGUGACAGGUGGUGCAUGGUUGUCGUCAGCUCGUGUCGUGAGAUGUUGGGUUAAGUCCCGCAACGAGCGCAACCCUUGAUCUUAGUUGCCAUCAUUCAGUUGGGCACUCUAAGGUGACUGCCGGUGACAAACCGGAGGAAGGUGGGGAUGACGUCAAAUCAUCAUGCCCCUUAUGACCUGGGCUACACACGUGCUACAAUGGACGGUACAAAGAGCUGCAAGACCGCGAGGUGGAGCUAAUCUCAUAAAACCCGUUCUCAGUUCGGA
rnacentral:rRNA from 1 species